UGCCCCAUGGCUGAGUUGGUUACAGCGUCCGACUGUUAUACCCACCGUACAACGCGAUUACAAUCGGAAGGUCGAGAGUUCGAGCCUCUCUGGGGCAG